rnacentral:rRNA from 1 species
GACGAACGCUGGCGGCGCGCCUAACACAUGCAAGUCGAACGGAGCUUAGAGAGCUUGCUUUUUAAGCUUAGUGGCGAACGGGUGAGUAACGCGUGAGUAACCUGCCCUAGAGUGGGGGACAACAGUUGGAAACGACUGCUAAUACCGCAUAAGCCCACGGUACCGCAUGAUACUGAGGGAAAAGGAUUUAUUCGCUUUAGGAUGGACUCGCGUCCAAUUAGCUAGUUGGUGAGGUAACGGCCCACCAAGGCGACGAUUGGUAGCCGGACUGAGAGGUUGAACGGCCACAUUGGGACUGAGACACGGCCCAGACUCCUACGGGAGGCAGCAGUGGGGGAUAUUGCACAAUGGGGGAAACCCUGAUGCAGCGACGCCGCGUGGAGGAAGAAGGUUUUCGGAUUGUAAACUCCUGUCGUUAGGGACGAUAAUGACGGU